CGAAAACUCCACAGAAGAAGAAGAAGAAGACGACGACUGGGUUGGAUUUUAUGCAAUUUUGAUGUAAUCACGUGGGGCUAUCCGAUUAGAUUCACAUCAUCAUUACCGCAGCCUUGUUCGGGUCCAACAGGGGUAAUGAGGUGUUCAGCUGGCAUGAGGUGAGGGCGGGGCAGGUUUCCUGGGAGCCUGGAGCGGAGGCUGGAUCACUCCUGCCAUCACACCUGUUAAUCAUCUACCCUCGUCUGAACACCCUUCUUAAGGAUCUGCAGGAGUUCCAGUCUAUCUCGCUUCCUGAGCGUCUAGCUCCCGUUGCCGGAACCUGCUACAUGUUUGAAUCCUUCACUGCCUUCACUGCGGACUUUAAGCCUCAGCCUACAGCCAGCACCCUCCUCUCUUGUAAGGACUACCAACGGCACCACUGGAUGCAUCAUUCCUUGCAACCCUCCUAACUGACUAUUCCUGUAUCUGGUAAUGCUCCUUUACUGAGGUUCCUCCCCCCCCGAAGAUCUACAAACACCACCUAAUAAACAUUGUUCUCACUUCCACCUCUGCCUACAAUGUCUGCAUUCUGGGCCCUCACAAUACAGGGGACGGCUAGUUGAGCUAGCCGUGAAACCUAAAUUAUUAAGGGAAAGUAACAAUCAGUGUCAUUAGUUACAGUAAUAACUUUGUUUUCAAAAGCUCUUGGAACAAACAAUGCUCUAUAAGCAGGAGUAUGUGAAUUAACUGGUGCUUGAAAACAGAGGCAUGCUGUAAAAAUGUGAUGAAACAGAACUGGGCUUGCUGUACAUAUUAAAAGAC
ensembl:lncRNA